CAGUAGCCGCGGUAAUACGUAGGUGGCAAGCGUUGUCCGGAAUUAUUGGGCGUAAAGGGCUCGCAGGCGGUUUCUUAAGUCUGAUGUGAAAGCCCCCGGCUCAACCGGGGAGGGUCAUUGGAAACUGGGAAACUUGAGUGCAGAAGAGGAGAGUGGAAUUCCACGUGUAGCGGUGAAAUGCGUAGAGAUGUGGAGAAACACCAGUGGCGAAGGCGACUCUCUGGUCUGUAACUGACGCUGAGGAGCGAAAGCGUGGGGAGCGAACAGGAUUAGAUACCCCGGUAGUCCCUGUCUCUUAUAC
rnacentral:rRNA from 1 species